rnacentral:rRNA from 1 species
CUUUUCUCAAGCUUACAGGAAAGGAGCAAACGUGCGUGGCUACUUCGUAUGGAGUAUCAUCGACAGCUUCGAGUGGACUUACGGUUUCACGGUAAAGUUCGGGCUGUAUCAUGUGGAUUAUGAAACGCAGAAGAGGACUCCAAAGAUGUCGGCGAAGUGGUACCGUGACUUCCUCAUGGGCUCUAGGCCGACCAACCAAGUGCAGACGCCCAGAGCAGAUUCGUGAUAGUUGCAGCCAUUACUGUGAGAUCCAGUUACCCGUAAAAAGAAACUCCAAGAAUUCUGCGCCUCGACAAUACUCUCAACGCGUCCUCAGUUUGACAGUGGAGUGAUGGCGGAACAUCGCUUAAUAGUUUACCUUUGUUUCUCUAAACAUUUCAUAUGUACAGUUACUUCUAGAAUGGCCACUCAGUUCAAAGAAGUGCUAAGUGCUCCGCUGUUCCUUGAAACUUCACAUUCGGAGCACUAGGAGACGACGUUGUUUGUUCUAGUGUUUUGGAUCUUCGG